rnacentral:rRNA from 1 species
GGGUGGUAAUGCCGGAUGUUCCACAUGAGCGCAUGCGAGUGUGGGAAAGGCUUUUUGCGGCAUGGGAUGGGGUCGCGUCCUAUCAGCUUGUUGGUGGGGUAACGGCCUACCAAGGCGUUGACGGGUAGCCGGCCUGAGAGGGCGACCGGCCACAUUGGGACUGAGAUACGGCCCAAACUCCUACGGGAGGCAGCAGUGGGGAAUAUUGCACAAUGGGCGCAAGCCUGAUGCAGCGACGCCGCGUGCGGGAUGGAGGCCUUCGGGUUGUAAACCGCUUUUGUUCAAGGGCAAGGCACGGUCUUUGGCCGUGUUGAGUGGAUUGUUCGAAUAAGCACCGGCUAACUACGUGCCAGCAGCCGCGGUAAUACGUAGGGUGCAAGCGUUAUCCGGAUUUAUUGGGCGUAAAGGGCUCGUAGGCGGUUCGUCGCGUCCGGUGUGAAAGUCCAUCGCUUAACGGUGGAUCCGCGCCGGGUACGGGCGGGCUUGAGUGCGGUAGGGGAGACUGGAAUUCCCGGUGUAACGGUGG